rnacentral:rRNA from 1 species
GACGAACGCUGGCGGCGUGCUUAACACAUGCAAGUCGAACGGAAAGGCCCUGCUUUUGUGGGGUGCUCGAGUGGCGAACGGGUGAGUAACACGUGAGUAACCUGCCCUUGACUUUGGGAUAACUUCAGGAAACUGGGGCUAAUACCGGAUAGGAGCUCCUGCUGCAUGGUGGGGGUUGGAAAGUUUCGGCGGUUGGGGAUGGACUCGCGGCUUAUCGGCUUGUUGGUGGGGUAGUGGCUUACCAAGGCUUUGACGGGUAGCCGGCCUGAGAGGGUGACCGGCCACAUUGGGACUGAGAUACGGCCCAGACUCCUACGGGAGGCAGCAGUGGGGAAUAUUGCACAAUGGGCGGAAGCCUGAUGCAGCAACGCCGCGUGCGGGAUGACGGCCUUCGGGUUGUAAACCGUUUUCGCCUGUGACGAAGCGUGAGUGACGGUAAUGGGUAAAGAAGCACCGGCUAACUACGUG